rnacentral:rRNA from 1 species
GAUGAACGCUGACGGCGUGCCUAAUACAUGCAAGUCGAGCGAACGGACGAGAAGCUUGCUUCUCUGAUGUUAGCGGCGGACGGGUGAGUAACACGUGGAUAACCUACCUAUAAGACUGGGAUAACUUCGGGAAACCGGAGCUAAUACCGGAUAAUAUUUUGAACCGCAUGGUUCAAAAGUGAAAGACGGUCUUGCUGUCACUUAUAGAUGGAUCCGCGCUGCAUUAGCUAGUUGGUAAGGUAACGGCUUACCAAGGCAACGAUGCAUAGCCGACCUGAGAGGGCGAUCGGCCACACUGGAACUGAGACACGGUCCAGACUCCUACGGGAGGCAGCAGUAGGGAAUCUUCCGCAAUGGGCGAAAGCCUGACGGAGCAACGCCGCGUGAGUGAUGAAGGUCUUCGGAUCGUAAAACUCUGUUAUUAGGGAAGAACAUAUGUGUAAGUAACUGUGCACAUCUUGACGGUACCUAAUCAGAAAGCCACGGCUAACUACGUG